GCAUCUUGGCUGUCUCCUAAAAAAAUGUACAUUCUCUUGCUGGAGAUUGAACUGCGGACUGCAAAAUACCCCAUGGCCGAUUAUCAUCGUUUAAGGGAGCCCCGAAACGAAGCCGCUCGGCCGGGGCGGUGGAAGAAGCUGGGAGCGCCUCAGCCCAACCCUGCGCAGCUGGACGAGGUCUGCCCGGAGAGGCCAUUGGAGGAAGAGCGCCACGUGACAGAGG